GGGAGGAAUAUUCAUAACAGGGACAUCGAUGUCAUCAACAUCAAUUAUCGCCUCAGUUAAUCAGUUAACGAUGGCUAGAGUAUUUGGUUAUUUGGAAGCUGGUACUACUUUAGAGCCACUGGAAAGUGUCAGAUACUUAUCUAACAUUUUCUUGUAAAAGUCACCCUUCAUUGGAUUUGUGCGAGCCAUAAUAUUUGUAACACAAACAAUAAUUUGGUGAAGUUAAAAGCAAGACAAUGGAAUAACCAAACGAGGAAAGACUGCUUAUUGAGAACAUCUUGAAAAAUAUUGUGGGACUCCUAACACUUUAGGAGUGCCUUGUAUGGUACUGUUGGCACUC
rnacentral:lncRNA from 1 species